rnacentral:rRNA from 1 species
UACAGAGGUCUCAAGCGUUGUUCGGAUUCAUUGGGCGUAAAGGGUGUGUAGGUGGCGCGCUAAGUCGGGUGUGAAAUUUCGGAGCUUAACUCCGAAACUGCAUUCGAUACUGGCGUGCUUGAGGACUGGAGAGGAGACUGGAAUUUACGGUGUAGCAGUGAAAUGCGUAGAUAUCGUAAGGAAGACCAGUGGCGAAAGGCGGGUCUCUGGACAGUUCCAUGACACUGGAGACACGAAGGCCAGGGGAGCAAACGGG